rnacentral:rRNA from 1 species
UACGGAGGGUGCAAGCGUUAUCCGGAAUCAUUGGGUUUAAAGGGUCCGCAGGCGGAUUUAUAAGUCAGUGGUGAAAGCCUACAGCUUAACUGUAGAACUGCCAUUGAUACUGUAAGUCUUGAAUUUGGUCGAAGUGGGCGGAAUAUGACAUGUAGCGGUGAAAUGCAUAGAUAUGUCAUAGAACACCGAUAGCGAAGGCAGCUCACUAGGCCAACAUUGACGCUCAUGGACGAAAGCGUGGGGAGCAAACAGGAUUAGAUACCCUGGUAGU